rnacentral:rRNA from 1 species
AGAGUUUGAUCAUGGCUCAGGAUAAACGCUGGCGGCGUGCCUAACACAUGCAAGUCGAACGUCCUCCCUUUUUUUGAGGGAGGGAGUGGCGGACGGGUGAGUAAGACAUGGGUGACCUACCCCCCCGUGAGGGAUACCGGCGAGAAAUCGCCGACAAGCCCGCAUAGGGUCGCUCUGCUAGAGCGGAGCGAGCAAAGCUUCUUUUCGGAGAGGCGCGAGGGGAUGGGCCUGUGGCCGAUUAGCUAGUUGGGGGGGUAAGAGCCUCCCAAGGCGACGAUCGGUAGCUGGUCUGAGAGGACGAACAGCCACACUGGGAUUGAGAACGGCCCAGACUCCUACGGGGGGCAGCAGUGAGGAAUUUUCCGCAAUGGACGCAAGUCUGACGGAGCAACGCCGCGUGCAGGAGGACGCUUUUCGGAGUGUAAACUGCUUUUCUGUGGGACGAGGAUGGACGGUACCACAGGAAGAAGCCCCGGCUAACUACGUGCCAGCAGCCGCGGUAAUACGUAGGGGGCGAGCGUUGUCCGGAGUUACUGGGCGUAAAGGGCAUGCAGGCGGUCUGGCGCGUUUUGUGUGACAGCGGGGGGGCUCAACUCCCCGAGCAUGCGAAAGACGGUUGGACUUGAGGGCUCGAGAGGGACACGGAAUUCCGGGUGGAGUGGUGAAAUGCGUAGAGAUCCGGAGGAACACCGAAGGCGAAGGCAGUGUCCUGGCGAGUGACUGACGCUGAGGUGCGAAAGCCAGGGGAGCGAACGGGAUUAGAUACCCCAGUAGUCC